GGUCGCUUCUCGCAGGCGGCGCGCUUGCUGGGUCACAGUGAGGCGGCUCCGCGCAGGCGCAGCCGGGCGGGCGAGGAGCGGGGAAGCUGACUCAGGGCUGCGGCCGGGGUCCUGCGGGGUAGGAGCGCGAGGCCGGCCUGAGGGAGGAGGCCUAGCGACCCAUCCGGCGCCUCCCGCCCCGGGCACCCGCCCGCGGCCGCGCAUCCUGCGGGCCCCAGGAGGCCUCCAUCUCAAAACAACGUGUUUUUAGAGAACUCAAGGGCUGUGAAAAGAGCAGGACCUCACCAGCUGCACGGCGGUGGUGACUGGCUCCAUCUUGCUGUCCCUCCCAAUCACACAACAUCUCCCCUUGAAGGCUCUGCCCAGGCCCGGACUCCCACCUUUCAAGAUGUCUGGAUCAGUGCAGGACCUCCUCCUUGGCCACAUCGCUCUCCUUGGACUGUGUUGACUCACCUGUGGAGUGGUCUGAGCCUGAAUGCCCGGGGCUGUGGCCACCGAGUGAACGGGCUGUGCUAAGGGGAAUUGCCACCUUGGGAAACCUGUGUAGUUGCGGCUUUUCUGAUUAAGUAUCAAUAAAAGUCUGACCUUGUGAAAAAAGCAAACGUGAGUGGCCCUGCUUAUGUUUCACCUUGCGUUGCUCAGUGAUAGUUCUGCAAAGUCGCAGGAAACCUGGAAUCAUCUAAUUAUCGUGAGUGUUGGUUCCUUAUUUAAUAAUGUCUAGUUGAUUCAUUAACAUGGAAUUCAUGGCCAGUACCUCUGUCACUCAUGCCUGACUGAAGUUGAUCAGCACGUCUUUUUCUCCCUUAGGCACAUGACAGCCUUCUUGCAAUCAAGAAACUACGUGUGGCCAGGAUCUCAUCCACUAUCACAGUUUCAGCUUUCCCCAAACUGGAAUGUGUCUUUGCAGACGCCCAUCCUUAUUAAAGGGCAAAGACUUCUCAUACACCUAGGAUGGAUCUUAUAUUCUUGGCGGGACUGCAGAGAAGGUGCCGUGUCCUGAGUCCUCAUGUCAGGGCACAGGCUUCCAGCCAGUUCUACCUGGGUUAUGUUUAUCUCAAUUCCCUGGUGGUAUUGGUGUCUGCUGGGUUUUGCCAGAAUGAAGACACCGUGUUUUCAUUUGUCAGUUGAUUCGUAUUUUCCAGGAAGACAUUCUGAGAUUACAGCAUUGUCUUAGUCAAGGUGCUGCAGAAGGACAGAACUAAUAGGAUAUAUGUACAUAUGAAAGAAAGUUUAUGAAGAACUGGCUCACACCAUCACAAGGCAAAGUCCCAUGACAGGCCAUCUGCAAGCUGAGGAGCGAGGAAGCCAGCAGUGGCUCAGCCGGAGUCCAACAGCCUCAAACGGAAUCCAACAGUUCAGGCUUCAGUCUGUGGCCAAAUGCCCAGAGACCCCGGAAAGCUACUGGUGUUAGUCCCAGAGCCGGAAGGCCAAAGAACCUGGAGUGUGAUGUCCAAGGGCAGGAGGAAUGGACAGAAGCAUCCAGCAUGGGGUAAAGACGAAAGCCAGAAGACUCAGCAAGCUAGCUUACCUACUUUCUUCUGCCUGCCUUGUUCUAGCCGCGCUGGCAGCCGGUUGGAGGGUGCCCACCCCCACUGAGGGUGGAUCUUCCUCUCCUAGUCCACUGACUCAAAUUUCAGUCUCUCUGGGAGCACCAUCACACCAGAAACAAUACCAGCCAUCUAGCCACCCUUCAGUUCACCAUCACAACCAUUGUCUUAUUCAUGAAACUUCUGCAGACCCACCUUAACCUCCAUCGGUGACUUCUACCUGAAGCCCUCUGAUUGUUGCCCAGUGGUGCUUUUUAAAAUAAUUUCCAUAGUUUCUUCUACACCUUUAGUUGGCAUUCUACUGUAAAGGAGAGAUUUUAUUUUCUUACUCAUUUAUUUGUUAGUUUAUAGUCACCACCAUAUGGAUGCAGAGUUCUGUCUCAUUCACUGGGAAGUAUUCUAUUGCAGUCAUGAUUUAUUUUGAUGUUCACAUCCCAGAGUUGGUGAGUGAGCGCCCCUUCACGCUGGCUCCCGAGUGCUGACGUGUCCCCGUCCUUCUCUGCACUUUUCCUUACCUCCUGGCCUCAGAUAUUCCAGGGUCAUUUGUUCUCUCCCUGCUCCAACCCUGCAGUCAGCCAUCUCCCUAGGGACGUUGGUUCCUUUAUGGAAGGUGGCAUUUAGAAGCCAGGAUUUGGGCUGAGCACUGUGGCUCAUGCUUGUAAUCCCAGCACUUGGGGAGGCCGAAGUGGGCGGAUCGCUGGAGGCCAAGAGUCUGAGACCAGCCUGGCUAACAUGGUGAAACCCUUCCCCGUCUCUACUACAAAUAAAAAAUUAGCUGGGUGUGUUGGCACGUGCCUGUAAUCCCAGUUACUCAGGAGGCUGAAGCACCAGAAUCUCUUGAACCCAGGAGGCCGAGGUUGCAGUGAGCCAAGAUUGCACCACUGCACUACAGCUUGGGUGACAGCGCGAGACACCGUCUCAAAAAGGAUAAUAAUUUAAAAAACAGCAGGAUUUGGGUGAGCAGUGCGCUCAUUGCUUCUGGGCUCUCUCGGUGGACAUAGGCUAGGAAUGUAAGAUGUAUGUGCCUGUGUAUAUACACACGUCUGUAGCUAUGUCUAUGUUGCAUACAUGUGUUUUUCCAAAAACCAAAUCCAUAACCAUGCCUUCAGUUUCAGCCCAACACCUCCGGGCUCUUUCUAGCUUUCUACCUUUCAUGAUUGUGAAUACCUUCUCCAGCAGUGAGAAACCUGGCUCCUUUGUCCUCAGUGGAUUUUCUUAUUUGCUCAAUUUUUUUGUUUUUUGUUUUGUUUUUGUUUUUGAGACAGAGUCUUGUUCUGUCACCCAAGCUGGAGUGCAGUGGCAUAAUCUCGGCUUACCGCAACCUCUGCCUCCUGG
rnacentral:lncRNA from 1 species